GAUUCUUUGUUAAUAUUUAUGUUCUAGAGUAUACAAUCUGAAGGAAAUUAAUGUUAUUAAGAUAGGAUUUUAGAAGAUUAAAUAAACUUUUCAUACAUUCAAAACAAACGACUUUUCGAUGAUUACAGCAAUAUGUAAACUAACCUCUGAUUCAUCAUAUGUUCAUCAUUCUUCUCCAAAUUGUGUGUGACAGUGUAAAACUGCAGAAUAUGUGGUACUGGUUAAUUUGCACAUUUUCAUUCCCUAACACUACCAACGCAAAUACAUAGCUGGUAAAGAAUGGUACAAAAGCUGAUUGAAGUGCUGAAGCAGUGUAUACAGUUGUAUUAUCUACGAAGAGUGCCUACAUAUUACUGAUAAUACAAGUUAUGGAUUAAUUGUUUCUUAAUACUCAAUUAUGAGUAUCAUGAACUAUGCCAACCUUAAAUAUCAAGUACUGAAACAAGACAAGCAUCACCUUUAAAUCACUGUUAUCUUGGCAUCUUGGUAUGAAUUAUCCAGCCUUUAGUUAUAAUCAGCUGCUAAAUUGAGGUAGAGUGUGUAUCCUGAAGUUCAAAGAUCAUUAGAUGACAGAAUUUUCUGAGUAAAGUUGCUGUCAUGCCAUUUGCAUCACCUUUGAUUUGAUCUAAAGCUGUUACUUUUGAGUUGUUGAGCCAGCAUUGAACUUAAGUUUAUUUAAAUAUAUAUUAUCAUAAUUACUUUUACAAAGAUACCAACAAGUAGUUGUUAAAUAUAGGUAUGUCCUUCUGUAUAUGAAUGAGUUUUUAGGUAAAUGAAGUUACAGAUGCAGAUCCACCUAAAACAAAUGAGAUCAUGGUUCUUAUCAGAACUUGGAGAUUCAUUUAUAGCAAUGUCGUAGGAUAACCGUUCUUUCACUAAAUUGCCCUUUUAAAUGCCCUUUUUGAAUUUUUUGCUCCAAAAAACCAAAUUGUAGCGGGCGAACGCAAUGUCGUAGGAUAACCGUUCUUUUACCAAAUUCGGGCGAACGCAAUGUUGUAGGACAACCGUUCUUUCACCAAAUUGUAGCGGGCGAACGCAAUGUCGUAGGAUAACCGUUCUUUCACCAAAUUGUAGCGGGCGAACGCAAUGUCGUAGGACAACCGGUCUUUCACCAAAUUGUAGGUAUUAAAAUUCUUUGUUAUUGUUAGAGUCUGACAUCCAGACAUCCAUGCAAGAAGGACCAUUCUUGCAUUUAAUUGUAAAUAUUAAAGUUCUGUAUUACUAUCUUAAAUAACUUUUGUGAUUUUAACAUAAAUUGACUUCCAAAAUUUA